rnacentral:rRNA from 1 species
GACGAACGCUGGCGGCGUGCUUAACACAUGCAAGUCGAACGGAAAGGCCCUGCUUUUGUGGGGUGCUCGAGUGGCGAACGGGUGAGUAACACGUGAGUAACCUGCCCUUGACUUUGGGAUAACUUCAGGAAACUGGGGCUAAUACCGGAUAGGAGCUCCUGCUGCAUGGUGGGGGUUGGAAAGUUUCGGCGGUUGGGGAUGGACUCGCGGCUUAUCAGCUUGUUGGUGGGGUAGUGGCUUACCAAGGCUUUGACGGGUAGCCGGCCUGAGAGGGUGACCGGCCACAUUGGGACUGAGAUACGGCCCAGACUCCUACGGGAGGCAGCAGUGGGGAAUAUUGCACAAUGGGCGGAAGCCUGUUGCAGCAACGCCGCGUGCGGGAUGACGGCCUUCGGGUUGUAAACCGCUUUCGCCUGUGACGAAGCGUGAGUGACGGUAAUGGGUAAAGAAGCACCGGCUAACUACGUGCCAGCAGCCGCGGUGAUACGUAGGGUGCGAGCGUUGUCCGGAUUUAUUGGGCGCAAAGGGCUCGUAGGUGGUUGAUCGCGUCGGAAGUGUAAUCUUGGGGCUUAACCCUGAGCGUGCUUUCGAUACGGGUUGACUUGAGGAAGGUAGGGGAGAAUGGAAUUCCUGGUGGAGCGGUGGAAUGCGCAGAUAUCAGGAGGGACACCAGUGGCGAAGGCGGUUCUCUGGGCCUUUCCUGACGCUGAGGAGCGAAAGCGUGGGGAGCGAACAGGCUUAGAUACCCUGGUAGUCCACGCUGUAAACGGUGGGUACUAGGUGUGGGGUCCAUUCCACGGGUUCCGUGCCGUAGCUAACGCUUUAAGUACCCCGCCUGGGGAGUACGGCCGCAAGGCUAAAACUCAAAGGAAUUGACGGGGCCCCGCACAAGCGGCGGAGCAUGCGGAUUAAUUCGAUGCAACGCGUAGAACCUUACCUGGGUUUGACAUGGAUCGGGAGUGCUCAGAGAUGGGUGUGCCUCUUUUGGGGUCGGUUCACAGGUGGUGCAUGGCUGUCGUCAGCUCGUGUCGUGAGAUGUUGGGUUAAGUCCCGCAACGAGCGCAACCCUUGUUCACUGUUGCCAGCACGUUAUGGUGGGGACUCAGUGGAGACCGCCGGGGUCAACUCGGAGGAAGGUGGGGAUGACGUCAAGUCAUCAUGCCCCUUAUGUCCAGGGCUUCACGCAUGCUACAAUGGCUGGUACAGAGAGUGGCGAGCCUGUGAGGGUGAGCGAAUCUCGGAAAGCCGGUCUCAGUUCGGAUUGGGGUCUGCAACUCGACCUCAUGAAGUCGGAGUCGCUAGUAAUCGCAGAUCAGCAACGCUGCGGUGAAUACGUUCCCGGG